UGGAGAGCAGCAAGGCUGGCUGGGAAUACCCACCCUGAGAGGGGUAACAUUGAAAAAUAGUGACCUGUGUUAUCACUACACAAAUUUGGGUGUUAAUUUAGGCUGAACCACAUUGUCACUGAUCCACCUGAAGCCUUGGAGUGGCUCCCUAGAACAGAGGCUAGACAAGAGUAAGAGAAUAAAAGCAGGUCUCUACAGGCUUUUGCUGUUUGAAGCAAGGUGUCAGUGAUUCUCCAAGGAAUUUCACCACAGAUUGUCCCAAAUCCAACAGAAGGGAUGGGAAUUGUUGAAUUGCAUGCCUUGGAUGGAACAGACAUUUUCAGAGGUUUAGCUGUAUUUAUAUUCAAUAAAAAAAGGGGAUAAGUUCAUUUAAAACCCCUAAAGCUGUGGGCAACCUUCAUCUCAAUUUAAUCUUGGGUUUGUUCAGGCUGAAAAAGUGGUUUAGGGUUAUGUGGCAGAACUUC